rnacentral:lncRNA from 1 species
GUUCAAUUCCUGGCACUAACAUAGCAGUUCACAACUGUCUGCAACUCUAGUUCCAGGGACUCUGACAGCUUCACACAGAUAUUCAUGUAGGCAAAAUACCAAUGUAUAUUAAAUAAAUUAUUAAACAGGUAAAAAAAAAAAAAAAAAAAGAGGACACUGCUAAAUAGCCCUGAAGGUACCAGCUCCAGGUCUGUUUAUCAGGAUUGCCCUGCUAGAAAAAAAAAUGCCUUAGAGAGAUGUUGGCUCCAAAGUGCAUUCUCUGUGUCUCUUCUGUCUGAAGUCUGUACUGUUCGUUUGUUUUUUAAAUAAUCUGUUUUCUAAUUCUCAGACCCAUGACUCGAUCUUCAUUUCACCAGCUAUGCUACAAAAGCUCUUAGCUCCUGGACCACUCCUCCUGCCAUUAUCCAGGCCAGCCACCCCAACUCCCAAGCUGUUGGCUAGACCUAAAACAAUAGGAGUAGAAGAAAGGCCUCCACAGGGGCAGAGCUCUCCAAUGCUCCCAGUGAGGCGAUACUGAGUCCUGGCUCUGGCCACCCAGAGUCAGGGCUUGCCUGGGCAGAGCAGUGGGCUCCCAUCGUCCCCCCAGUGUCUUAUUUACCAUUGCCCAGACUCCCAGCCUGGCCUGUCAGCCCAGGCCUGCCCACAGCCUUGGGAGGUACUGGGGAGGGGAGAGUUUCAGGUCUGAUGAAAGCCACCGAAACCAGCUCAGAGCUCCCAUGAAAGGAACCAAGGGGAGGCAUGAGUCUGUUUGAUGGCUGGGUGGCAGGCAUGACCAGACUUGUCUUCCUCUUGGGGAGAUGGAGACAAAGACAGCGUCAUCCCCCAGAGGAAGCACUGAGUCUCCUCUACUUCCCCCACACGGCCUCCUUGCCUGGAAGAUGCAACUGGCCUCUGAGUCCCCACCAAAGUACCCUGGAAGCACAGGCCACGUACUGCCAUGCAGGAGCCCUAAAAGUGGAGAAGCAGUGAGCAGGCUAAGUGGAGAGGUGACAGCAUCGAUUCCUGUCUAGACUGGAGUUCUGGAAUCCAGCCGUCCUGAUGAAAGGAUCCAUUAUGGAGACAGGAUAUAAAUCCACCAGGUCAACAGGACUGUAUUCACCUUUAUUUACACUUCUUUCCGCUCUCUGGUUGGUCACUGCCUGUCCUACUGUCGUUUGCUUUCAAGUUUCAACAAAACCACUGACUGCAUCAAGACCUGUUAAGUAGCCAGUCACAUCAGAUUUCAUUUUGAGGGGCCUCAUGUUAGGGUGACAUGCUCCCUCCAGAUCCCCUGUAAGGCAUCAAUUCUUUGCUCUGGACUUUAGAGAGUGCUAAGAAGUCACCACAGGCAGGGCAGGGUCACCAAGGGUGUGUUAUUAAUUCCAUCUUCCCUGCACCCUUAGGCCCUGCCCAACACCUUUGUGCAGUUAGUCAAGGAUGUGGGAAGGGAGCCAGCUGACAUGGCCCAUUCCUGAACUGGUAGGCUGGGACCCUUGGUCACUGAUGCACCCUGUCCAGCCACCAGGGAAGGGCACAUCACCACAAGGCACCACCAAUACCAAGGAGCUGAGUUGGGUUCUCCUCAAUCAUGAGUCCUGUGUUCUUAACUGCGUGAGACUUUUGUACCUGGAUGACCUCUGCAUAUCUGCCACUUAAGAGUACACAUCCUCUCUCUCUCUGGAGUCUUCUGUAUUCCGACUCUGCAGCGAGAGACAGCUGGAGUGGAGUGAAGGUCAGCCCAGCUUCUGCAGCUGGGCUCAACACAGACAUGCAUUCUUAAAUCUCUGUUCACUUUCUUUCCAUCCCUUCAUGGAUAUCUUUUCUUUGUUUUGGCUUUUGCUUUUAUUGAUACCAGUUUAUAUCAUUAUUCUAAUAUAGAAAUGAUCAUCUGAUGCUAUGAUUUUACCCACAUACAAUAAAACAAAUUUUUAAGUG